GGGGUAUACGGUGACCCGGUCUACCACCGGGAUGUUCAUAACCCUUUGUUGUCCGACUCUGUUGCCUCCGGGGCGACCCUGCCUUCGGGCGGGGGCUCCGGGUGGACACUUCAAACUCUUGCGUAACUUUGCAGUCUGAGUAAACUUAAUUAAUAAAUUAAAACUUUUAACAACGGAUCUCUUGGUUCUGGCAUCGAUGAAGAACGCAGCGAAAUGCGAUAAGUAAUGUGAAUUGCAGAAUUCAGUGAAUCAUCGAAUCUUUGAACGCACAUUGCGCCCCCUGGUAUUCCGGGGGGCAUGCCUGUUCGAGCGUCAUUUCACCACUCAAGCCUCGCUUGGUAUUGGGCAUCGCGGUCCGCCGCGUGCCUCAAAUCGACCGGCUGGGUCUUCUGUCCCCUAAGCGUUGUGGAAACUAUUCGCUAAAGGGUGUUCGGGAGGCUACGCCGUAAAACAACCCCAUUUCUAAGGUUGACCUCGGAUCAGGUAGGGAUACCCGCUGAACUUAAGCAUAUCAAAA
rnacentral:rRNA from 1 species